GACGGAGGGUGCGAGCGUUAUUCGGAAUCAUUGGGCGUAAAGAGCGUGUAGGCGGCCGGUCAAGCCAGAGGUGAAAGCCCAGGGCUUAACCCUGGAAGUGCCUUUGGAACUGGCCGGCUUGAGUUCGGGAGAGGAAAGCGGAAUUCCGGGUGUAGAGGUGAAAUUCGUAGAUAUCCGGAGGAACACCGGUGGCGAAGGCGGCUUUCUGGACCGAAACUGACGCUGAGACGCGAAAGCGUGGGGAGCAAAC
rnacentral:rRNA from 1 species